UAAAUGUGGAGCAGAACCCACUAUAAAAAACGAGGCGGAACCUGAAAAGCCUUAUGAGUAAGGAAAAUA
rfam:Flavobacterium johnsoniae TW101, complete genome.